GACGAACGCUGGCGGCGUGCCUAAUACAUGCAAGUAGAACGCUGAAGAGAGGAGCUUACUCUUCUUGGAUGAGUUGCGAACGGGUGAGUAACGCGUAGGUAACCUGCCUUGUAGCGGGGGAUAACUAUUGGAAACGAUAGCUAAUACCGCAUAACAAUGGAUGACACAUGUCAUUUAUUUGAAAGGGGCAAUUGCUCCACUACAAGAUGGACCUGCGUUGUAUUAGCUAGUAGGUGAGGUAAUGGCUCACCUAGGCGACGAUACAUAGCCGACCUGAGAGGGUGAUCGGCCACACUGGGACUGAGACACGGCCCAGACUCCUACGGGAGGCAGCAGUAGGGAAUCUUCGGCAAUGGGGGCAACCCUGACCGAACAACGCCGCGUGAGUGAAGAAGGUUUUCGGAUCGUAAAGCUCUGUUGUAAGUCAAGAACGGGUGUGAGAGUGGAAAGUUCACACUGUGACGGUAGCUUACCAGAAAGGGACGGCUAACUACGUG
rnacentral:rRNA from 1 species